GGAUGCAGAAGAAAAGAACCCGUGUAUCAUGUUGCCUACUGUGAAGAUCUUAGCUUUUGUUUUGCCUUUUGAAUUUGGGAGUGCUUAUUAAGGUAUAAAAUAACUAGCAACAUAAAUAUAAAUAGGUCAUGAAAGGACCAAUUAUGGCUGUGUCAUGGGGUCAGGAUUAUAGUUAAUUUAAUUCUGUGCAUCUCAGAUUCAUAAUAAAGAAAACAGUAAGAAAAAAAUAAUGUAUUGAGGAAAUAAAAAAAUAAAAAUACAAAAAGAAAACAAACACUUUGUCAUAAAGAAAAUAUAAACAUUAAAAAUGUAGAACAACUUCAAAAAGUGUAAAAGAGAGCAUCUGUGUAUGGCUUCAAAUCAUCCUUUGUACCACCAGGGAUGUAUACAGUAUGGAAACAAUUGCCCUAACUUAUGACAGUGAACAGAGUGUUUCUGCUUGCAAGGAAGUCAUGGUUGAUAGGGAACAUAAACGAGGGGGUAGUUAGAAUUAACUAAGUGAUAGGAUAAUCAUAAAGAAGUAAAAGCAUAGGGUAGGAGGUAUGAAACAAGCUCAGGCAUGGAAGAAGGCAUCUUAAGAAGAUGUAGAAUCUAAUUUUGAACUUGAAAGGGCAAGAUAUUUUAAGCCCUUUCAAGACCCUCACAGGAAGGAGAGCGAUGGGGCUUGGGAGGUCAACAGGAGCCUUGUCAUGAGGGGCCUUGUAAGGUCUAAAGUGGACUUGGGGCCUUAUUUCAAGAGCCACAGGAAGCCAUCAAAGAGUUUAAGCAAGGGAGUCACCUAAUUAGACUUCUUGCUCGUAGACAGCAGGACCACGGGUAGGAACGAUCAGUUAGCUGUGGAGGUUGAUGCAAUUGUCCAAGUGGGCCAUGGUGAUGAAUACAGUUAGAAGAGAGAAAAGUAGGCAGAGGAGGCACUUACUGAGGAGGUAGAAUAAGGAGGACUCAGAAAUGUAUUGGGUAUAGGAACCAAAUAAGAGGGACAAGUCAAUCAUGACUUUCGCUUUGAGGAGCUGGGAAGAUGAUGGUGCCAGGUGCUAAGGCUUGAGAAAAUGGGGGAGAGAGCACACGUAUCUUCUUUGAUAGUAUAUCCCAUUUGGCUCAGCACUGGUUCAUAGUGUCUCCCAAGCCUUUUAAGAUGAAGCUGACAUUUCUCAAGAAAGGAGGGCUUCCAAACUCUAGAAACAACAAAGAUCCUCUUGUUCCCAGACACCUGGACUGAGCUAGUAAGAAUGCUGUCCCAAGGUGCCGUGGGAGGAAUGUUUAAAUCAAGGUUUCCCAACCUAUGACCUAACAUCAUAAAAGCUAUUUCAUUUUAUUUUCUAAGUAAUUCCUGGAUUUGUUACUUGUGUGGCUAACGAUUGGUGCCAAUGACCUCUAAUUAUAAAGUGAGGUCAGAGUUCCUCUGAGAUUAUUUUUCUUCUUUUUAAAUGCAAGAGAAUUACCUAAGCAUAGUUCUAAUGAGCAGUACCUAAUAACAAAAUCUUUUGCUUCAGGUAUGUCAUAAAGCAAUUGUACGUAUCCCCUCCUUUCAUAUAGUGGACCAUAAACGUGAUGUAAGCAACAUUAAUUACCUAGAGAAUGAUUGCUGAGAUUAAACUUUCUGAUCACUGAUAAAAUGGGAAGGCAUGGACCUGAGACCUGUGACACACCUAGUACUGUGGUCAUUUUAUAGAUAAUUUCCUCAGAAACCUUUAAAGGAAGAUGGCCAGGGAGUGAUGUGCUGCCAGUCUGUAAGAAUUGUUGGUCCAUUACCACCAAAUCAGUCCAUGAAGGGACUGCUAAUAUUUGGCAUCGGGGAGAGGAGUCAAUAAAAAUUCACGUUUACAGUAUUUAUAUACUCAUGUGCAAGCAGAGGGAAAGCUAAGGGAAGUAGAAAUUGUUUACAUAGCACAUAAUGAGCAUCAUUAAUAUUAGUCUCCAAUUGUCACACUGCAAAUGUGUGUGUUUACAUGGAUGCUAAUAUUGCAAAGCAGUUAGAAUGGAAUUUCGUGUUGGUGAGACUAAAGUCAAAUCCUAGCUUUCCCACUUAAAAAGCAAUGUGACUUUGAACAAAUUAUUUAAAUUUUCUAAAUAUUAGUUUAUUCAUUGAUACAGUGGGACAAUAUGCCACUUCCUUGGGUUUAAUGAGUUUAAUGCAUGCAAAGAAUUUAAACCAGGACCUGGUGUAUCUCAAAAUAUUCAACAAAUGGAGAUAAUGGAAGGAGUUCCUGUCGUGGCACAGCAGAAAUCAAUCCAACUAGGAACCAUGAGGUUGCAGGUUCGAUCCCUGGCCUCGCUCAGUGGGUUAAGGAUCCAGCAGUGCCAUGAACUGUGGUGUAGGAUGCAGAUGCAGCCUGAAUCUGGCAUUGCUGUGGCUCUGGCAUAGGCCAGCAGCAACAGCUCUGAUUAGACCCCUAUUCUGGGAACCUCCAUAUCCCACAGGUGCAGCCCUAAAAAGGACAAAAAG
ensembl:lncRNA